UUUCACAAUCACAAUUUCACAGGCCGUGGGAGGGCCGGUGGGUGUUGAAGAAGAAAAAAACUGACAGGAAGAUUUCUAGAGAAGUUCAUUUGCUGUUCUCUUGGAUUACUCGCUCAGAUCAAAUGUCUCAUUGGUAUACAUGAUUUGUGGAGAUUUGUUAUCAGAAGCUGGAGGAAAUACAGCUCAUCGGACAAAAUAAACCACAGAGAAGCAUGCGCUGACUGGCCAACCUCUGAAAAGAGAAGUAACAGAAGAAGAGCUUGAGACACUUGACAGUAAAUGGUCUUACUUAGAAUCAAUGGAGAUUAUUGCAGCCCAUUAAAAACAUAAAGGUAAGUGAAACUUAGUAUUGUUUAGUAAAAGGAGGAUAAUGUUUUAUAAAAAUGUAUUAUUAGUAUUAUUCAUUUUUUUUAUUUGGUUUGUCAGCAGCAUGGCACAAAUGCCAGGUUUCUUUUUGCUGGUAAUAGUCGGGAUAAUUGUAUCAACCUUGACAAUAAUCCUCGUAUUCAUCAUCAUCAAUGUGUGUAUUAGCAAGCAAGCUGCCAGGCGAAAGAAGCAAGAGUCAAUACAAAAUCACACUAAUUUAAGUCACAAUCACCUGUUUCCAGCCCAUGCAGACGUGGAGGAGAAACCACCUCCACUGCCUUCUAGGGACCAGUUCCUCUCAGAGUCAAGGUCCAACAGUUAUGAGCAGGUGGACACUUUAAUAAGUCCAAUGAAAGUAGAAAUUCAAAGUCCAUCUCCACCACAACCGACUUUCAUCCAGGACUGUAAGAUCCAGUUUGAAGAGGAGGACAACAAGAGUGUGGGUGAAAGCUAUGAUGAUGUUGAACAACUUAACAAUGGUGAGGACAAAACGAUAUGUACAGAAUGCUCUUUAUUCUCGGCUGAUAAAGAAAAGGGCCCAGCUAGACGCGCCAUUGUUAAGAACCCUUGAAUCUGAAUCAGACAGAAACAAACUAAGCUCUGCAUUCUGAUUGAAUACAGCAUUUAGAAAUGUCACUCAUUUAGUUAAAGAGAUAAAACAGAAUGAACUAUGCUAUUUAUAAUGGAAAAUAAAAGAAUAGCUUAGACGUUACA
rnacentral:lncRNA from 1 species